UACGAAGGGUGCAAGCGUUACUCGGAAUUACUGGGCGUAAAGCGUGCGUAGGUGGUCUCUUAAGUCCGUUGUGAAAUCCCCGGGCUCAACCUGGGAAUGGCAGUGGAUACUGGGAGGCUGGAGUGCGGUAGAGGGUAGUGGAAUUCCCGGUGUAGCGGUGAAAUGCGCAGAUAUCUGGAGGAACACCGGUGGCGAAGGCGGCAUCCUGGACCGGUAUUGACGCUGAGGAGCGAAAGCGUGGGUAGCAAACAGG
rnacentral:rRNA from 1 species